UACGUAGGAGGCAAGCGUUGUCCGGAAUUACUGGGCGUAAAGCGCGUGUAGGUGGUGGGACAAGUCUGCUGUGAAAGCCCCGGGCUCAACCUGGGAAUUGCAUUCGAGACUGAAUAGCUAGGGUACGGUAGAGGGAAGUGGAAUUUCCGGUGUAGCGGUGAAAUGCGUAGAUAUCGGAAGGAACAUCAGUGGCGAAAGCGACUUCCUGGACCAGUACCGACGUUCAGGCACGAAAGCGUGGGGAGCAAACAGG
rnacentral:rRNA from 1 species